GGGAGCCCGGCAGGGGGCCACGGGAAACUGAGGAAACUCCAGCCUCUCGUCCUAGGGGAGUCCCGAGAGGGACGGGGUUAGGCGCUCCGACAACUGCACAGAAACGGUACCUGUGAUAGCUAGAUGAAGAUGAUCGUCACUUCCCGUUUGGCGACAAAUGGGAAGGCGUGAGAGGCGUAUCACGGGUUGAAACGGCAGAUCUCCCCUUGAGCAAGUAGGGGAGGAAAGAGGACAGGAUGUCUCCCCUGAAACGCAAAGCCAAAUCCCCCCAUACAGAAGCUGGGUUAUUGCCGUGGCUCCU
rnacentral:RNase_P_RNA from 1 species